rnacentral:rRNA from 1 species
AACGAACGCUGGCGGCGUGGAUAAGACAUGCAAGUCGAACGCUGAUUUGUGGGUAGCAAUAUUCGCAAGUCGGAGUGGCGCAAGGGUGCGUAACACGUGGGCAAUCUGCCGUGAAGACUGGAAUAACUUGCUGAAAGGCGAGCUAAUACCGGAUGUGACAAUUGGAAGGCAUCUUCUGAUUUUCAAAGUUGGGGACCGUAAGGCCUGACGCCUCANGAUGAGCCCGCGGCCUAUCAGCUAGUUGGUGAGGUAACGGCUCACCAAGGCUAAGACGGGUAGCUGGUCUGAGAGGACGACCAGUCACACUGGAACUGAGACACGGUCCAGACGCCUACGGGUGCAGCAGUCGAGAAUUUUUCUCAAUGGGCGAAAGCCUGAAGGAGCGACGCCGCGUGGGGAUGAAGGGCUUCGGCUCGUAAACCCCUGUCAUUCGCGAACAAACCUUACGGACUAACAUGUCGUAAGCUGAUUGUAGCGGAAGA